ACGGGCGGGGCGAGCGUUAUUCGGAUUCAUUGGGCGUAAAGGGCGCGUAGGCGGCAGCGUAAGUCAGGGGUGAAAUCUCCACGGCUCAACCGGGAAAUGGCCUUUGAUACUGCGUUGCUUGAGUGCGGUAGAGGCAAGUGGAAUUCUCAGUGUAGCGGUGAAAUGCGUAGAUAUUGGGAGGAACACCAGUGGCGAAGGCGACUUGCUGGGCCGUAACUGACGCUGAGGCGCGAAAGCCAGGGGAGCGAACGG
rnacentral:rRNA from 1 species